rnacentral:lncRNA from 1 species
AUCUAGUAAAUUUUAGUGUUUGCAACUUGGCAUCAACAAAUUAGAGCUUAUACAAAAUUCAAAGUCAAGCACCGCUUAGUUAAAAGAUUAAAUAAAAAUCAAAACUUUUUUAUUCCUUUCAUUCAUCACUCUUCAUGAUACAAAUCAUUACCAACAACCCAACUAGUUCACGAUCAGCUACCAGGUGAGCAACAAAGUGGGAAGGAUAAGAUUUAAGUGAAAAAAAACCCUUCAAUUGAAGAAAUUUCAGUCUAGAUGGUUAAUUCGAAGCAGGAAAGAUAAGAUUUUCGGCUCAAAGUGGGAAGGAUAAGAUUUAAGUGAAAAAAAACCCUUCAAUUGAAGAAAUUUCAGUCUAGAUGGUUAAUUCGAAGCAGGAAAGAUAAGAUUUUCGGAUCUAGAUGAAGAAAUUUCAGUCUGGCCAAGGAGGAAGAAGAGUUUUGUUCAUGUUGCUAAUUUGGAUUUUGAGUGAUUGCUUAGAUCUGGAUAAGAGAGAUGAAGAAGUUGUUGUCUGUCUUCUCGGUUCCAACCCUUCAAUUGCAGUGGUGCUGAAAUUAUUGGUGGUUGUGUGGUGAUAAAGGGUGAUGAAGGGUGAUGUUGUUUUGAAAGCAUGAGGAAUGUCAAAGGAGACGAAUGAACAUGGUGAAAAAGUGUUCCGGUAAUACAAGAAUCAUUCUAACAAUUGUUUCGUAAAAUUAAUACAAACCGAACACUAUGUUCCAGUAAAAACAAGAAUGAUUCCAAAAAAAGUUUGCAUACCGAAACACUUUUGAUAGUGUUCAAAUUAACAUACCGGCAUAAAAAGAAGUUAUCGGAACAGUAUUUUAAGGUGGUGUAGUAAAAAUAAAAAAUAUACUAGAGUAAACAAGGGUAUAAUAGGAAUAUUUUAAAUUAUGUUGGGGUAGAAAAAAAGAUUUUCUGAAGAAAAUUAAAGGAAAGAAAUCUACUUCUUAAACGGGUUGCCUUUGGAGAUAACGGUAACGGUAACAGGAGAUAAUUUCAAGCGGUUCUUUAUUUUUGUAAUUUUUAUUUUCAAGCAGUUCCUCUUUACUUUGGUGUGUGUUUGGUUUGGUU